CGCGCUAUCUGGAGGGGAAAUACACAAGCUGAGCGUGCGUGUGUGUGUGUUACGAUUCGUUUCGUGUGCCCCAGUGCUCGUGUAUCCUUCUCCUGUUUACCUCGAGUUCUUCGCAAGGCGUGUGAGUGUUUCUCGACUGGAGAGAGAAAGAAAAAGUCGGAGAAAUGCUCUUUCCCUCGUUUCUAUUUGCCCCUACUGGCAUCAGCGAGCUCCUACGCAUUUCUACUCGUGUCUAUUCGCACCUCCGAUCAACGCGUCGCUAUUCCCUCGACUUUUUUCCUCCGCACUCGCAACUCGCGACUCCUGCUCUACUCCUCAACUCGCAUUUCUUUUAAUGCUCCGCCUUUAAUUUGGCUCUAUCGGUUGUUCGUUGCCCUUUCGUGCGGUGUACUACUCGACUCAUCAAAGAAGAAGAAGAAGAAGAAGAAGAAGAAGAAGAAGAAGCAAAGGAGAAGAGAGGAAGAAGCGAAAGUAAAGAAGGAGGCAGAUAAGCUGGUGAAAAAAGGCACCGGAGCCCUUCGCAUCGAUUCCUCGUUUCAUCUCCCUUUGUGUUUGUUUUCUGCCUCAUUCUUUUAUUCAGACUCGCGUACAUGCCCUCCCGAGUACAAAGAGAAGAUGAUGGGCAAAGGGUUAAGGGCUUGGAUGAAGAGCGAGCGAGCGAGCCGGACUCGAAUCCCUGCUGCCCUCGGGUCCAAUCUCAACGAGGAUCGACCAGGAGCCCUUCGACCUUCGGUGCACGGACACACGAAUCCACCUACGCGCGGAGGGACCGGGCUACCAAAAACAUCGUAAAAUCAUUCGAAUUGUGAUGAGCGCAGCUUGACUCGACGAGAAUAAAAUAUUGAAAAAUCUCAA